rnacentral:lncRNA from 1 species
AUUACUUUGACCCAAUAAUCCCUUCUUGCGUGGAUUUAUUCUAGAUUAUUAAUUGAUUAUAACAAUGAAAAAUAUCAUAAGCAACUCAAGUGUCCAUUAAUAGGAGAUUAGUUAUUUGGGUACGGUUGACCCUUGCACAACACAAGUUUGUAUGGCACAGCUCCACUGAUAGGUGGAUUUUCUUCUGUCUGUGCUGCCCCUGAGAUAGCAAAACCAACCCCUCCUCUUCUUCCUCCUCAGCCUACUCAACAUGAAGACAGUGAGGAUGAAGACCUUUAUGAUGAUCCAUUUCCACUUAAUGAAUAGCAUCAACCAUGAGCUUGUUGAAGAGGCAUUUGGGGGUAGCGAGGAGCAGAGAGAGAACUUUCCAACCACACUACCUGCGUUUUUGAAAGGCUGACAUGGCUCUUGGUUCUCAAAUCAGCCUCAAAAUAGCCUGAAAAGCCUGGAGUCCACUCACAGAAGAGCAGACCUCCUCCGGUCAUCAUCAAAGGGGUCCAUAAGGAUGAUCACCUUCAGGCUCGGGGUGAAGCCUUUCUCUACAUUCCCUAUCAGCACCAAUGCCUUUUGGGGUGUGUCACAGAUCACCAUGGCGAUAUCAGCUGGAAGCCAAAAUAGAACCAGAGGUCAUUCCCUCUCUCUGCUAAGUACCUGAUUGCCUUGCAAGAAGGAAGAGGUUUUAAAAGUUUUCAAAGCUAACAGGUGUCCAAAGGAGAUUACACCUGCAAAUCAGAUUUAUAAUGUACAACCUGAAACAUUCCAUUGAUGAUAAAUGAACUUAACUGAAACAGAAGCACAUGUUCUUGAACUGUGCCAGCAGAUUUUACAGUUUCUAGAGGAACCACAGAAUUCCUUCUGCUUAAGAAGUCAUUCAGAUAACCUAAACAGGUUACUGAGACUCACCAUGGACAUUGGUACAUGCUGGUUAACUGUAUUGACUUGGAUUUACAAAGUCUCAGGUAUUUCUUCGUAACAGUGUGAUAACGAACUAAUACAGACAGCAUAACAUCAUUGUGUGGAUACACAUUAGCAAGCUUGAAGACUACAGGAAAUAAAACUGGAAAGAAGAACGGUCAUGAGGGAUACAUGUGCACAGAGAAAAGGCCGUGUGAAGACAAAAUGAAAAAGUGGCUGUCUACAAGUCAAGGAGAGAGGCCUCGGGAGAAGCUAAACCUGCUGACACUCUGACCUUGGAUUCCUAGACUCCAGAACUGUGAGAAAAUAAAUUUCUGUUGUUUAAGCC